AACGAACGCUGGCGGCGUGCCUAACACAUGCAAGUCGAACGAGACCGUCGGGUCUUGGGGCGCACGGGUGCGUGACGCGUGGUAACCUGCCCUUAGGUUCGGAAUAACUCCCCGUGAGGUGAGCUAAUACCGCUGAGUGUCUUAGGAGCAAGGAUCUCUGGCCGUUGGGUGGGGGCGGGUUGGUUUAGGUGGUUGGUAGUGUAAAAGCCUACCAAGGGGACGUUGCAUAGCUGGUCGGUGAGCAAGGUCAGCAAGACUGGGACUGAGACACGGCCCAGACGCGUACGGGAGGGAGCAGUAGGGAGUAUUGGAGGAUGGGCGAAAGCCUGAUCCAGCAAUGCCGCGUGAGUGAUGCAGGCGUUAGGGUUGUAAAGCUCUUUUACCCGAGGUGAUAAUGACGGUACCGGGUGAAUAAGCACCGGCUAACUCCGUG
rnacentral:rRNA from 1 species